UACGAAGGGGGCUAGCGUUGUUCGGAAUCACUGGGCGUAAAGGGCGCGUAGGCGGCUUGAUAAGUCGGGGGUGAAAGCCUGUGGCUCAACCACAGAAUUGCCUUCGAUACUGUCGAGCUUGAGACCGGAAGAGGUAAGUGGAACUGCGAGUGUAGAGGUGAAAUUCGUAGAUAUUCGGAAGAACACCAGUGGCGAAGGCGACUUACUGGACGAUUGUUGACGCUGAGGUGCGAAAGCGUGGGGAGCAAACAGG
rnacentral:rRNA from 1 species